GCUCUUGUAGUGUAGUGGUUAUCACGUCUGCUUCACACGCAGAAGGUCCCUGGUUCGACCCCAGGCAAGAGCA
rfam:Trichinella zimbabwensis scaffold104s, whole genome shotgun sequence.